GACGAACGCUGGCGGCGUGCCUAAUACAUGCAAGUAGGACGCAGUUGCGUACGGGUGAGUAACGCGUCGGUAACUGCCUAUUAACGGGGGAAAACUACUGGUAACGAUAGCUACUACCGCCUACUAGUUGAUGGACUUGCGUUGUAUUUGCUAGUAGGUAGGGUAAUGGCCUAACUAGGCAACGAUACAUAGCCGACCUGAGAGGGUUGUCGGCGAAACUGUGACUGAGACUGGGCCCAGACUCCUACGCGAGGCAACAGUACGGAAUCUUCCGGAAUGGGGGGAAACCUGACAUAGCAACGCCGCGGGAGUGAAGAAGGUGUUCGGAUGGGAAAGCUCUGUUGUUAAGGGAGCGGUACUUAACCAGUAAGGAACGGCUAACUACGUGCCAGCAGCCGCGGUAAUAC
rnacentral:rRNA from 1 species